AAGAGCGAUCUUCUGGCCCGGCAACCCCCAUCCGGAGCAAGGCCAAAUAGGGAAGGAGAUAGCCCAGGUCGUUAUUACUUCCGGGUAGGCCGCAAGAGGCUAAGGGAAACCUUAGUCCCAGAUAAAUGGUUGCGAUCCUUUUUAGGAUACAGAACUCGGCUUAUAGCCUGUCCUGUUUU
rnacentral:RNase_P_RNA from 1 species